GCAUCUUGAAGGAAGGAGCCUAAAUAAUUGCUGCUCCUCUGGGUGAAAGGCCCUGACUACCAUAUUGCAGUUGUUUUUAGGGAGGUGUGUUUUUGCUAACUUGAAGGGAUAUGCUGUAUUUUAAAUUUAAAUAAAUGUGUGACUUAAUAUUUUGGGAAUUUUUUUUUCCUCCUUUAAAACUGGACCUGAACACAGCUUUGAGUUGAUAUUUGUAAUAAUCUCAGGACCUGAAAGAUUGUAGCAUUUAGUGUGUCUUAAAAAUUAUGUACUGUACCAGCCAUGGAUUUUUGUAAAUAUACCUGUCUCCCUUUUUUG
rnacentral:lncRNA from 1 species